UCUGAAUCAACCGUCGUAUUCUUAUGCAUCUAGCAGCACUACAUCAAAAUUUCUGUUCGGUUCAAGACUUCUGGAGCUGAAAGCACGCAUGCACGCUCAAUAGCGCAAUGGACACAACCAUGCAUGAACUAAAUCAAAAAAGACUACGUCUCGCCUCUUCUUGUUGUUCAGUGGCUCAGCACCAGCUGUCCCUUUCCUCAUCAUCGCCACAAACUCUGAAUAAUCUAUCCUUCCAUCCUACAUGUGCAAAACUAAAUUUCAGUCUCUUGAUUUAAGAAAAUAAAAACAUAUGCAAUCAAUACAAGGAAACAUUGAAUUUCAUAGUAUUUGUUCCUUACAUUGUCAGAGUCGGCAUCUGAGAUGACCUCUUUGAUUUUAUCGGCAUCAUACAACCCUUGCUCCUUCAAGGCUUGCUCAAGUUCCUCUCUUGUAAUGUACCUGUGAGAUAACAAAAAAGCAAAUGUGUUUUAAUGUAUUGUAGUCCAAAAUUCAAGUAUGUUAGCUGUGUCGUUUUAACAUUCAACUUACCCGCUGUUGUCCUUGUCGAAAUACUGGAAUGCUGUGUAAAGGUGUUCCUCUC